AUUGAACGCUGGCGGCAGGCCUAACACAUGCAAGUCGAACGGUAACAGAGAGUAGCUUGCUACUUUGCUGACGAGUGGCGGACGGGUGAGUAAUGUCUGGGGAUCUGCCUGAUGGAGGGGGAUAACUACUGGAAACGGUAGCUAAUACCGCAUAAUGUCGCAAGACCAAAGCGGGGGACUUUCGGGCCUCGCACCAUCAGAUGAACCCAGAUGGGAUUAGCUAGUAGGUAGGGUAAUGGCUUACCUAGGCGACGAUCCCUAGCUGGUCUGGGAGGAUGACCAGCCACACUGGAACUGAGACGCGGUCCAGACUCCUACGGGAGGCAGCAGUGGGGAAUAUUGCACAAUGGGCGCAAGCCUGAUGCAGCCAUGCCGCGUGUAUGAAGAAGGCCUUCGGGUUGUAAAGUACUUUCAGUCAGGAGGAAGGGUGUGAAAUUAAUACUUUCAUGCAUUGACGUUACUGACAGAAGAAGCACCGGCUAACUCCGUGCCAGCCGCCGCCGUAA
rnacentral:rRNA from 1 species